rnacentral:rRNA from 1 species
GGGGGCCCGCACAAGCGGCGGAGCAUGUGGAUUAAUUCGAUGCAACGCGAAGAACCUUACCUGGGUUUGACAUAUACCGGAAAGCUGCAGAGAUGUGGCCCCCCUUGUGGUCGGUAUACAGGUGGUGCAUGGCUGUCGUCAGCUCGUGUCGCGAGAUGUUGGGUUAAGUCCCGCAACGAGCGCAACCCCUAUCUUAUGUUGCCAGCACGUUAUGGUGGGGACUCGUAAGAGACUGCCGGGGUCAACUCGGAGGAAGGUGGGGACGACGUCAAGUCAUCAUGCCCCUUAUGUCCAGGGCUUCACACAUGCUACAAUGGCCAGUACAGAGGGCUGCGAGACCGUGAGGUGGAGCGAAUCCCUUAAAGCUGGUCUCAGUUCGGAUCGGGGUCUGCAACUCGACCCCGUGAAGUCGGAGUCGCUAGUAAUCGCAGAUCAGCAACGCUGCGGUGAAUACGUUCCCGGGCCUUGUACACACCGCCCGUCACGUCAUGAAAGUCGGUAACACCCGAAGCCGGUGGCUUAACCCCUUGUGGGAGGGAGCUGUCGAAGGUGGGACUGGCGAUUGGGACUAAGUCGUAACAAGGUAACCGUAAGGGC